rnacentral:rRNA from 1 species
ACGCUGGCGGCGUGCCUAAUACAUGCAAGUCGAGCGAGCUGAAUUCAAAGAUCCCUUCGGGGUGAUUUGUUGGACGCUAGCGGCGGAUGGGUGAGUAACACGUGGGCAAUCUGCCCUAAAGACUGGGAUACCACUUGGAAACAGGUGCUAAUACCGGAUAACAACAUGAAUCGCAUGAUUCAAGUUUGAAAGGCGGCGUAAGCUGUCACUUUAGGAUGAGCCCGCGGCGCAUUAGCUAGUUGGUGGGGUAAUGGCCUACCAAGGCAAUGAUGCGUAGCCGAGUUGAGAGACUGAUCGGCCACAUUGGGACUGAGACACGGCCCAAACUCCUACGGGAGGCAGCAGUAGGGAAUCUUCCACAAUGGACGCAAGUCUGAUGGAGCAACGCCGCGUGAGUGAAGAAGGUUUUCGGAUCGUAAAGCUCUGUUGUUGGUGAAGAAGGAUAGAGGCAGUAACUGGUCUUUAUUUGACGGUAAUCAACCAGAAAGUCACGGCUAACUACGUGCCAGCAGCCGCGGUAAUACGUAGGUGGCAAGCGUUGUCCGGAUUUAUUGGGCGUAAAGCGAGCGCAGGCGGAAUGAUAAGUCUGAUGUGAAAGCCCACGGCUCAACCGUGGAACUGCAUCGGAAACUGUCAUUCUUGAGUGCAGAAGAGGAGAGUGGGACUCCAUGUGUGGCGGUGGAAUGCGUAGAUAUAUGGAAGAACACCAGUGGCGAAGGCGGCUCUCUGGUCUGCAACUGACGCUGAGGCUCGAAAGCAUGGGUAGCGAACAGGAUUAGAUACCCUGGUAGUCCAUGCCGUAAACGAUGAGCGCUAGGUGUUGGGGACUUUCCGGUCCUCAGUGCCGCAGCAAACGCAUUAAGCGCUCCGCCUGGGGAGUACGACCGCAAGGUUGAAACUCAAAGGAAUU